rnacentral:rRNA from 1 species
UGCGACCUCAGGUCAGGCGGGGCUAAUUCGUUGGAUGUUCCUUGGCGCGGUUUGCGCCGGGGUUCGUU